rnacentral:rRNA from 1 species
AUGUCCCCUGAUUGGGAGGAUUUAUAUCCUCUUGCCUCUGUUCAUAAGCUGGUCAAAGAGCUAUCAGACCACAACCCCUUGUUGUUGGACAGUGGGAGGGCUUCUUCUAGAGCACCAGGUAACAGGUGCUUUAAAUUUGAUAAUGCAUGGCUUAACAAUCUAGAUUUCCUCCCUCUGGUAUCUGAGAUUUGGUCGAGGCCGGUGUACACUAUCAACCCCAUUGACUCCUUAAACAUUAAGCUGAAAAGGUUUAAGAAAUUCUUUAAAGGAUGGGGUUCUAACCUUUUUGGUCACCAUAAAAGAAAAAGGCUCAUCAAGAUCGAGCUUCAGGAGCUUGAAAAGCUGGAAGAGGCUGAUGGGCUGUGUGGGGAAGCUUAUACUAGGAAGCUGGAGAUCCUAGUAGAGCUCAGUGACAUGUAUGUUGCAGAAGAGCUUCAUUGGCACCAGUUUUCUAACGAGAGGUGGUUAUUGAAAGGAGACAAUAACACUGAUUUUUUUCAUAAAGUAGCUACCGGGCGACGUAGGAAAAACUCCAUGAUUUCCCUAGAAUGUGGGUCUGUAACUAUAGAAGGGACCAAAAACCUACUUGCCCAUGCUACUGACUAUUAUAAAGCCCUAUUUGGACAGGCACCUGGCAAUCUUUGCCAGAUUGAUGCAACAUUAUGGUCUCAGGAUGAGAAGAUUACUCCUGAUGACAGUGAUGACUUGACUCGACCCCUUUCUCUUGAUGAGAUCAAAAAGGCUUUGUUU